GGAGCCCCUUCCCGCCUCUUGCUCAGCUGUGUUUUCACGGACGGGCUGGAAAUCCAGCUGCAGGAGGUUGGGAAGGGCUGACAGCACCAGGUCCCUGUGGGAAAAGUGAAGGAAAAGCCAAAUUUCCUGGAGCUGUGGGAUUGGGAGUGGGUGUCCCUCAUCCUCCUUCAGCCCUGGAUGGGUGAGUGGAGGGGUUUGAAUCCCUGGGGUUUGGAGAGCAGGGAUUAAAAUCCUGGGAGUUUGGAGAGCAGGGAUUGAAUCACUCAGGUUUGGGGAGCAGGGAUUGAAUCACUCAGGUUUGGAGAGCAGGGAUUCAAUUUCCUGGAGUUUGGAGAGCAGGGAUUCAAUCCCUGGGGUUUGGAGAGCAGGGAUUCAAUCUCUGGGGUUUGGAGAGCAGGGAUUGAAUCACUCAGGUUUGGGAAGCAGGGAUUGAAUCACUCAGGUUUGGAGAGCAGGGAUUCAAUCCCUGGGGUUUGGAGAGCAGGGAUUUAAAUCCCUGGAGUUUGGAGAGUAGGGAUUCACAUCCCUGGGGUUUGUAGAGUAGAGAUUCAAUCUCUGAGGUUUGGAGAGCAGGGAUUCAAAUCCCUGGGGUUUGGAGAGCAGGGAUUCAAAUCCCUGGAGUUUGGAGAGAGGGGAUUCAAAUCCCUGGAGUUUGGAGAGCAGGGAUUUAGAUCUCUGGAGUUUGGGGAGCAGGGAUUCAAUCCCUGAGGUUUGGAGAGCAGGGAUUCAAAUCCCUGGAGUUUGGGGAGCAGGGAUUCAAUCUCUGGGGUUUGGGGAGCAGGAAUUGAAUUCCUGAGGUUUGGGGAGCAGGGAUUCAAUCUCUGAGGUUUGGAGAGCAGGGAUUCAAAUCCCUGGAGUUUGGAGAGCAGGGAUUCAAAUCCCUGGAGUUUGGAGAGAGGGGAUUCAAAUCCCUGGAGUUUGGAGAGCAGGGAUUUAGAUCUCUGGAGUUUGGGGAGCAGGGAUUCAAUCCCUGAGGUUUGGAGAGCAGGGAUUCAAAUCCCUGGAGUUUGGGGAGCAGGGAUUCAAAUCCCUGGAGUUUGGAGAGAGGGGAUUCAAAUCCCUGAGGUUUGGAGAGCAGGGAUUUAGAUCUCUGGAGUUUGGGGAGCAGGGAUUUAAAUCCCUGGGAUUUGGAGAGCGGGGAUUUAGAUCUUUGGGAUUUGGAGAGCAGGGAUUCAGUCCCUGGGGUUUGGUGGGCCAGGCUGUUUGACAUUUCAUGGACUGGUUUGGGUGGGAAGGGACCUUAAAUCCCACCCAGCUCCAUCCAGGGACACAUUCCACUAUCCCAGCACACUCCAAACUGUCCUGGGACACUUCCAGGGAUCCAGGAGCAGCCACAGCUUCUCUGGAAAUUCCAUCCCACCCCCUCCCCUCCCUCCCACCCAGGAAUUCCUUCCCAAAAUCCCACCUGGCAAUGUGAAUCCAUUCCCCCCUUUCCUGUCCAUCCAUCCCUUGCCCAAAAUCCCUUUCCCAGCUCUCUUGGGAGGCACUAAAAGGGCACAGGGGGGUCACCCCGAGGCUUCUCCCAAUUUCUGGGGGGUUUUUCUCCCUCUCCUGCCUCUCCUGACCCACCUGUACCCAUCCUGCUGGGUGCACUGGUUCCCAGUCAGGUCGAGGAUCUGGAGGCUCUGGGGCAGCUCCUCUGUGGGAUGAAGGGAGGCACAGAGGGGCUGAGCUGGGAGCUGAGCCCCUCCAGCCACAAUUCCCAAAAUUCCCACUCCCCCCAAACUCCCACAGCUCUUCCCUCACACCCAGGGAAACUGA